GACGAACGCUGGCGGCGUGCUUAACACAUGCAAGUCGAGCGGUAAGGCCCUUUCGGGGGUACACGAGCGGCGAACGGGUGAGUAACACGUGGGUGACCUGCCCUCAGCUCUGGGAUAAGCCUGGGAAACCGGGUCUAAUACCGGAUAUGACUCCAUGACGCAUGUUGUGGGGUGGAAAGCCUUGUGCGGCUGAGGAUGGGCCCGCGGCCUAUCAGCUUGUUGGUGGGGUGANGGCCUACCAAGGCGACGACGGGUAGCCGGCCUGAGAGGGCGACCGGCCACACUGGGACUGAGACACGGCCCAGACUCCUACGGGAGGCAGCAGUGGGGAAUCUUGCGCAAUGGGCGAAAGCCUGACGCAGCGACGCCGCGCGAGGGA
rnacentral:rRNA from 1 species